AGUUUAUUGAGGGCUUCAAACUAAUACUAUCAUAGUGGAUUCACUCCUGGAUUGGUAUCCCCCAGAGUAGGCUUAUGCUGAACUGGGUUAACAAAUUACUGUGUUAAUUUAUUUUCAGUUUGUUAGGUUUAUUAUUCAUUUUGUAUGCGAUGUUGGAUGUUGGAUCAUUGGUUCACGCAUUAAAAGUGUAUUACAGUGGUGAAGCGUUGAGUACAACAUCCUAACACUAGUGUGCCAGAAUUUCAA
rnacentral:lncRNA from 1 species